UUUUUCUAUUAAAUGUUUUCUCAGACGAUAAUAAUUAAACGAGUUUAGGUGGACUCUGGCGGACUCUCGCCAGCCAAGGCCGGCGGCGGGUAGGACCCGCGGGUCCGCCAAAGCAACGAUGGUAAGGUUCACAAUGGGUGGGAGAUGAGGUCCGGCUCUUGGUAGAAGGGGACUCGAUUCUCUCUAAUGAUCCUUCCGCAGGUUCACCUACGGAAA
rnacentral:misc_RNA from 1 species